CCGAGCUUCCCGCACCACAGGCCCGAAGUAUCUCCUCGCAGCGACCAGGUGAAGAAGCCGCGCGUGGAGCCCGCGCUGAGCUUACCCGGCAUCUGCCCGACUCACCGGCCCAGGGCCCAGACCUGCGUGUAGACAUGGGCUUCCAGCUGCCGUCACCUGGACGUCGCCCCGAGGGUGAAGCUGGGAUUUUGACUGCGACAUGCUCACUCUUAACUGCCCACACCAGGGGUUCAGGACCAGAGCUGGAGGGCUUUCUCCAGAGGCAGGAAACAGUCUGACUGGAGGGAGGUAAGAGGAAACAAAGUCUCUCCAAAUGAGUGCACACCUUGCUGGAGUAUUGUGCUUCCAGAAAAGUCUUAGAUGUAACAAAACUUUUCAAUCCUGGGCUCCCA
rnacentral:lncRNA from 1 species